UACGGGGGGGGCAAGCAGUUGUUCGGAAUUACUGGGCGUAAAGGCUCGUAGGCGCCUAACUAGUCAUACGUGAAAUCCCUCGGCUUAACCGGGGAACUGCGUACUGAUACUGGAUGGCUUGAGUUCGGGAGAGGGAUGCGGAAUUCCAGGUGUAGCGGUGAAAUGCGUAGAUAUCUGGAGGAACACCGGUGGCGAAAGGCGGCAUCCUGGACCGAGUACUGACGCUGAGGAGCGAAAGCCAGGGGAGCAA
rnacentral:rRNA from 1 species